CUACGGGGCGCAGCAGUGGGGAAUAUUGCACAAUGGGCGCAAGCCUGAUGCAGCCAUGCCGCGUGUAUGAAGAAGGCCUUCGGGUUGUAAAGUACUUUCAGCGGGGAGGAAGGGAGUAAAGUUAAUACCUUUGCUCAUUGACGUUACCCGCAGAAGAAGCACCGGCUAACGCGCGUGCCAGCAGCCGCGGUAAUACGGAGGGUGCAAGCGUUAAUCGGAAUUACUGGGCGUAAAGCGCACGCAGGCGGUUUGUUAAGUCAGAUGUGAAAUCCCCGGGCUCAACCUGGGAACUGCAUCUGAUACUGGCAAGCUUGAGUCUCGUAGAGGGGGGUAGAAUUCCAGGUGUAGCGGUGAAAUGCGUAGAGAUCUGGAGGAAUACCGGUGGCGAAGGCGGCCCCCUGGACGAAGACUGACGCUCAGGUGCGAAAGCGUGGGGAGCAAACAGGAUUAGAUACCCGCGUAGUC
rnacentral:rRNA from 1 species